UACGAGGGGGCGAGCGUUGUUCGGAAUUAUUGGGCGUAAAGGGUGCGUAGGCGGUUCCGCAAGUCCUGUGUGAAAUCUUCGGGCUCAACUCGAAGUCUGCACGGGAAACUGCGGGGCUUGAGUGUGGGAGAGGUGAGUGGAAUUCCUGGUGUAGCGGUGAAAUGCGCAGAUAUCAGGAGGAACACCGGUGGCGAAGGCGGUUCUCUGGGCCUUACCUGACACUGAGGAGCGAAAGCGUGGGGAGCGAACAGG
rnacentral:rRNA from 1 species